GUUCUGGGAAAAAUUCCCAAAAAUCCCCCUGAGCCCAGGGGACUUCUUGGUUUUGCCAAGUUUCCCAAUGGGGAGGAAUUCCAGGAAUUCUUUGCAGGAUUCCAGGAGUCAGGAAGGUGGCAAAAGUGGGAAUUCUGCACAGAAAAGUGGGAAUUCUGUUGGAAUUCUGCAGGGAAGGUGGGAAUUCUGCAGGAAAAACAUGCAGGGAGAAGGCAGAGGACCCCAGAAGCUGGGACUGGUAAUAAAAGGAAAAGCAGGAAAAGCUGGAAAAAAAACAGAAAAGAACCAGAAAAAGAGGGGUAAAAAGCAGGAAAAAAACUGGGGAAAUUCCUCAUGAAAUCUGGGUUCCCCCCCGGGCCAUUCCUGCCAGGAUUAGAGGCCAGAUCCAGGGAUUUUCCUGGGAUUUUUCCUGAGUUUUUCUGGGGAUUUUUUUGGGGAAUUUUCAUGGGAUUUCCCGCACCUGGCGCUCCAGGGACGAUUUGUCACAUUCCAGGUCCUGGCGACUCGAACGUUCCUGGAGCAGCUCCGCCCGCAGCUGCUCAAUCUGGGAAUAAAAACAGAAAAAUCUGGGAAUUUCCAGGGAUUUCCAGGACGUUCCAUGGAUUUCCAUAGAUUUUUCUAUGAUUUUCCACAGAUUUCCAUUGAUUUCCACAGAUUUUCCACAGAUUCUCCAUGGACUUUUCCAUGUAUUUCUGGAAUGGGAUUGGCGGAGGCGCUGGGAUUCUCUGGGAAUUCUGGGAAACGUAUCCCUGGGAUUAUUCCCGAUUGGAAAAAUUGGGGAAAAAUUUUCAUUUUAUGCCCACUUAUGCCUUGUAAUUUUGGGGGGGAAAAGGAGGGAAUAAAGUUUGGGAAAACCUCAGAAUACACUAGGAUUUAAUCCCCAAAUUUCCGCCCAAGCAUCAAAAAUCAGGAAUUCCUUUAGGAAUUCUAUAUCACUCUUCCCAGCCUCUUCCAAUCCCCACUCCUGCCCCGGCUGACAAUUCCCAGCUGGAAUUCUCAGAUGGAUCCCUGGAGGGAGGGGUUGGAAUUCUGGGAGAAUUGUAUUUUUGCCAAGAUGAGAAUUCCCAAAAUUCCCAGGAUCUUACCUGGUCCCGGCUCCGGGUCACCCUCUCACUCAGCAGCUCCACCGAGCUCCGCUCCUCAUCCAGCUCCAAUUCCAAACGCUUGGAUUUUUCCUGAUGGGAAUUUGGGAUGGAAUUUUGGGGGAAUUUUCUGAGAAUUUUGGAAAAUUUUGGGGGGAAUUUUUUGAGAAAUUUCUGGGAAUCUUCUGGGACUUCUUUAGGAAUUUUCCGUUAUUUUUGGGGGGGAAUUUUCUGGGAGCGGUAUGGGAAUUUUUUUUCCAUUUCUUGGAGAACUUUCCAGGAUUUUUUUUCAGGAAUCCCCACCUCCAGUGCCUUGGAAUGCCUGGCUCGCUCCUCCUGGGAUCUUUUCCGGUUCUCCAGAUCCUGCUCCAGCUCCUGGAGCCUCUGGAGCAGCAGCUCCUUGUCCAGCAGGAUCCGAUCCCGCUCUUC